rnacentral:ncRNA from 1 species
GACUCUGGAGAAUCUCAGACGUAUUUGAGUGCCGAAGGUGCAAGGCUUUAUUGCUUAAUCUCUCAGGCAAAAGGACAGAGAAAGA